UUUGCUGGUUCUCGACCCUUGCCUGUCUGAUCUGAUGCAAAGACAUUGACAUUAACUGGUGGUGCCUGACAUUGGAUGCAUAUAGCUUCCCUCCUCCCAACGCAGGGUGCCGGGUGCAGGGAGCAGGGGGUCAAUUUCUAGGGCUGGGUGAUAUGCCCUAAAAUGUGUAUCACAAUAUAUUUAUUGAGGGUAUCACUGCACUUGCCCUGCUGAAAGUGCUGUCUUAUUGUUGUAGAUAGUACAAAAGAGUGGGAAGUAUAAAGCUCAAGACAAGAACAAAAGCAGUACCAAGGGUAAAGGAGGUGUGAUUUCCCUGGACGACUGAAUCGACAAGGAUUCCUCUUCUCCUUCCUCCUCCUCCUCCUCUUCAUCAUCUGAGGAUGGGUUAAUCCGAAUAUCGGUAAAUCCACAGCAGGUCGUAAGGAGAUACAAAAGAGUCCUACAACAAUCGCAGAGAGGGAAGAAUAUGAGUUCAUCCUACAGGUCUGUGCAGGUGGACAGAAACACUGUGCUGAAAUCGGCAAGCUUGCCAUUGUGGCACCAAGGACAUACGGAGAUAUGAGGAAACCCACACAGACACAUGCAAACUCUGCACAGAGAGGCCCCGGCUGACAGGGAUUUGAACCCAGGACCUCCUUGC